rnacentral:rRNA from 1 species
CUAUUAAUACCCCCAAAAGCACUUAUAUUAAAUUAAACAAACCAUUUUCCCCCCUUAGUAUGGGCGACAGAAAAGGAACGUUCAGAGCCAUAGAAAAAGUACCGCAAGGGAAUGCUGAAAAAGAAGUGAAACAACUCAGUAAAGUUUAAAAAAGCAGAGAUUUAUACUCGUACCUUUUGCAUCAUGAUUUAGUCAGUAAAAACAAGCAAAAAGUACUUUAGUUUGUCUUCCCGAAACUAAGUGAGCUACUCCAAGACAGCCUAAGAAUAGGGCCAACCCGUCUCUGUAGCAAAAGAGUGGGAUGAGCUUAGAGUAGAGGUGAUAAACCUACCGAACUUAGUUAUAGCUGGUUGCCUGAGAAAUGAAUAGAAGUUCAGCUUUUUGGUUUCUCCCUCCAACCUGCCUAACUACAGCCGAACCAAAGAAACCAAAAAAGUUAGUUAAAGGGGGUACAGCUCCUUUAAACAAGAUACAACUUCACCGGCCGGGUAAAGAUCAUACAUGACCAAGGUAAGAUGUUUUAGUGGGCCUAAAAGCAGCCACCUAUAAGAAAGCGUCAAAGCUCCUUCAUACCACCCCCCCCCCCCCCAAUUCCGAUAAUACAUCCUAAACCCGCUAAUUUUAUCAAGCCGCCCCAUGCCGCCAUGGGGGUGAUUAUGCUAAAAUGAGUAAUAAGAAAAACCACCUUUUCUCCUUGCACUCGUGUAAAUCGAAACGGACCCCCCAUCGAACAUUAAUCGGCCCCAAAAAAAGAGGGUAAUGAACUAUCAACCCCAAUAACAAGAAAAGCACCCAAAUAUCAACCGUUAACCUCACACUAGCGUGCUUACAAGGAAAGACUAAAAGAAAAAGAAGGAACUCGGCAAAUACAAGCCUCGCCUGUUUACCAAAAACAUCGCCUCUUGAAAACUAAGCAUAAGAGGUCC